rnacentral:tRNA from 4 species
GCGGGUGUGGUGAAAUUGGUAUACACGCUAGAUUUAGGAUCUAGUGCCGCAAGGCGUGAAGGUUCGAGUCCUUUCACCCGCA